GAGAUUGCGGUCAGAGGAGGCACAUCCGAACAUGUUUCGUCCUCGAACGUGUCGCCUGACGAUCCGCUCGCGCUCCACUCGAAUCUCUGUCCUACAUUUACGGCGCACUUGGUCAUGGUUUGUGCUGAUGGAGGUGUAAUUCCUGCCCAGCUACUGUCUCUGAUGCCCCCGUGAGAAAAGCCCGUGGGCUUCAGGUAUGACGAGCUCAUUGGCCGGCUCGCUGACGGAUGUCCCAGGAACAGGGGCCUCGACGGACAGGACUCCAUCACCGGACAAUGACGAGCUGAUGUGCUGCAAGUCCACCCCCUGCGGCAACCUUGGACGAGCGAAGAAGAGUCAUUUUCACCAACCAUCACAUCAACUCACGCACACUCAACUUACAGUCGCUGAAUGUAGCUGAGCAAACUUUUCUUUGUUGCCACGGUGUGUACAUUUCUGACAGAUUCGUCAGGAAUGUUAAUAUGUGGCAGCUUGCUACAGCAUACUUAUUUUCAUUGACCUCUUCCUAUGCAAUGGAAAUGAACAUAUGUAGGUUUAUUUCUCAAAACUCUUCAGAGAUGACCUACUUAUAUUUCCGGUUGAAGCAUCUUGAAACUGAUCCAUGCCGAUCUUGCCUUUCUUCAUGAUUUCCUUCCAAUGAA